ensembl:ncRNA lncRNA:CR42549 long non-coding RNA:CR42549
GUAAAAAUUUAAGACCUUUCCUGCCUAGCAAUUUGGACUCGAUAGGAAGUAAUAAUGUAUACCGUGUAAUAUGAAUAGUGCUUGUUUUCGUAACGUACGAAUGUAGUGGAAUUACAUAAAACGCAAUUGAUUUAAGGCCAGCACUUUUUUAUCUGCUGGUGACGAAGUGGUUGUCAUUCAUACAUACAAUAUUUUAUUGCUGGUUUUGGUGGUAAAUUUGCAUUGUUAACGGCCGCGGCCAGACGUGCCCCGCUUCUUUAACACACACGUCUCUCAAACGAAUACCGAUCAUCAAGUGUUUCCCCUAUUGACUCUCGUAUAUAGCAACACGUAAAAACCAAUAUAUAGCGAUACUGAUACCGAAAGCAACUAAACCGAAAGUGUAUACUAAAUACAUCCCCGUAUGUACCACAUAAGACUGCCAUCUGCCCCUUGCGUUGCCGUGCCGUGCCGUUGACACUUUUGUAUCUGGCCAUAUUCGUAUCUGUAUCUCAAACUCACUGACCAACUACUGCAAGCGCAAAUGCAAAUGUAAUCUGCAAAAUGCAAACUGCACACCUGAAUCUCAGCGCAAGUCUUAAACGUUUAAUCCUCGAACUGCCUACAAUACCAACCAACCUAUCAGCCAUCCUGAGCCAAUCAACCAACCAACCUAUCAACGGUCUACCGCAACUGGCAAACCAAACAGCUUUAGUUUGUAAGCUUUAAUUAUUUUUUUUUUUUUUUUUGUAAACCUGUUAAUUAUACAAACAAUCAAAGACUGAAUAAUUAUUUGUAAUUGUCCUCUGUUCUCCUAAUGGUUCCCAAAUACGGUCGAUCUCUAACCCAUCAAUUUAAGCUAUAUACUAUAUACGACAACACGACUUUGUCACACUGUUUGUUUUACUUUGCACAUGUUCGUUUUCUAUUUUACGCCUAGUAUUUACUAUAUUACCUACCUAUAGAGCACACACACACACACACCCACAACACAUGGCCCAUGUACGUUAAGUGUAACCCUCUUUAACUGUCGCUCUGUUGAUCUGGAAUCUUUCGAUUGUACUAACUGCCCGCCGGGCGAUAAGUGAUAAGUUUGUAAUCAGUCAUCCGCCCCUCGACCUCGAUCCAUACAUAUCCACCAAACCCGAAGCCGAAAGCAGAAUAGAAACCGAAACCCAAAGCGCUACACACAAAAAAAAAAACAGGGCCACUAAUAUUGUUUUUGUUAUGUUGACACAUUCAUGUAAAACACAUAAAUAUGUAUUAGGUCAAUUGAUAAGUCCUCGUCCUCACACAGAAUUUGUUAGCUUUCGGUCCAUAUCCAAAUCCUCAGGUCUCAAAGGAAUGCUCGCUGGGAAGAAAUUAACGUCGAAUGAAGAAGUGAUCGCGAAAAGUGACGCCUAUUUGAAAGCAAAGGAGAAAUCCUACUACAUAAAUGGUAUUGAAAAAUUGAAGCGAACUUUGUUGAAUGAAAAACUUAAAUUUGGCAGAAAAAAAAAUGUUUACUGUGGUAGGUCGGGGACUUUUUAAUGGACCUGUUAUGUAUAUGUGGGAGGGGCGGCUUAACGAUGGGUUAUUGUGUUUAACAACUUAAAAUGGAAACGCUGAAAGUGUAAAAUUUAUCGUUACCACAUAUCAUGGCAGACGGAGUCGGCGGAGUUAGUUCACAUAUACACAUACAUACAUAUGUACUACCUAUGUACCCGUAACUGUUAACUUUAUAUCUAUAUCUAUAUAUAUCGUAUCUGUAUUUGUAUCGGCAGCUUUUCCACAUACCCCCUAUACAUGAAUUUAUAUACAUUUAUAUCGUACUUAUACCUAUAGUUGAAAAACUAACCACGCACGUAUCUCAUCUCAGUUCCAUAUAAUUGAAAACCUAUUAAAGCUACACUCUUUAAACAAACUG